rnacentral:rRNA from 1 species
AUUGAACGCUGGCGGCAGGCCUAACACAUGCAAGUCGAACGAGGGGGGCGCGUGUGAGAAAUGUCUGGGAAACCGCCUGAUGGAGGGGGAAAACUUCGGGAAACGGUCGCUAAUCCCGUAUACCAGCAGAUGUGCCCAGAUGGGAUUAGCUAGUUGGGGGUGUAACGGCUCACCAAGGCCACGACCCCUAGCUGGUCUGAGAGGAUGACCAGCCACACUGGAACUGAGACACGGUCCAGACUCCUACGGGAGGCAGCAGUGGGGAAUAUUGCACAAUGGGCGCAAGCCUGAUGCAGCCAUGCCGCGUGUAUGAAGAAGGCCUUCGGGUUGUAAAGUACUUUCAGCGGGGAGGCGUUACCCGCAGAAGAAGCACCGGCUAACUCCGUGCCAGCAGCCGCGGUAAUUC